rnacentral:rRNA from 1 species
UACGAAGGGGGCUAGCGUUGCUCGGAAUCACUGGGCGUAAAGGGUGCGUAGGCGGGUUUUUAAGUCAGGGGUGAAAUCCUGGAGCUCAACUCCAGAACUGCCUUUGAUACUGAAGAUCUUGAGUCCGGGAGAGGGGAGUGGAACUGCGAGUGUAGAGGUGAAAUUCGUAGAUAUUCGCAAGAACACCAGUGGCGAAGGCGGCUCACUGGCCCGGUACUGACGCUGAGGCACGAAAGCGUGGGGAGCAAACAGG